GAUGAAGAACGUAGCGAAAUGCGAUAAGUAGUGUGAAUUGCAGAAUUCAGUGAAUCAUCGAAUCUUUGAACGCACAUUGCGGCCAUAGGUAUUCCUUUGGCCAUGCCUGUUCGAGCGUCAUUUACACCCUCAAGCCUAGCUUGGUGUUGGGCGUCUGUCCCGUCGUUCUCGCGCGCGGACUCGCCUCAAAGUCAUUGGCGGCGGUCGUGCCGGCCCCCUCGCGCAGCACAUUUGCGCUUCUCGGAGGCCCGGCGGAUCCGCGCUCCAGCAAGACCUUUCACGACUUGACCUCGGAUCAGGUAGGGAUACCCGCUGAACUUAAGCAUAUCAAUAAGCGGAGGA
rnacentral:misc_RNA from 1 species